rnacentral:rRNA from 1 species
UACAGAGGUCUCAAGCGUUGUUCGGAUUCAUUGGGCGUAAAGGGUGCGUAGGCGGCUCCGUAAGUCGGGUGUGAAAUUUCGGAGCUUAACUCCGAAACUGCAUUCGAUACUGCGGUGCUUGAGGACUGGAGGGGAGACUGGAAUUCAUGGUGUAGCAGUGAAAUGCGUAGAGAUCAUGAGGAAGACCAGUGGCGAAGGCGGGUCUCUGGACAGUUCCUGACGCUGAGGCACGAAGGCCAGGGGAGCAAACGGG